rnacentral:rRNA from 1 species
CCUACGGGAGGCAGCAGUGGGGAAUCUUGGACAAUGGGCGAAAGCCUGAUCCAGCGACGCCGCGUGGGGGAUGAAGCCCUUCGGGGUGUAAACCCCUGUUGCGAGGGAGGAAUAAGGCCUGGAGGAAAUGCCAGGCCGAUGACUGUACCUCGCGAGGAAGCCCCGGCUAACUACGUGCCAGCAGCCGCGGUAAUACGUAGGGGGCGGGCGUUACCCGGAUUCACUGGGCGUAAAGCGGGUGUAGGCGGCUCGGUAAGUCGGGUGUGAAAUCCCACAGCUCAACUGUGGAAUUGCGCCCGAAACUGCUGAGCUUGGGGCCGGUAGAGGGAGACGGAACUGCCGGUGUAGGGGUGAAAUCCGUAGAUAUCGGCAGGAACGCCGGUGGGGAAGCCGGUCUCCUGGGCCGCGCCCGACGCUGAGACCCGAAAGCUAGGGGAGCAAACC